rnacentral:rRNA from 1 species
UGAGGAAUCUUGCGCAAUGGAGGCAACUCUGACGCAGCCACGCCGCGUGAAGGAUGACCCCCCUAUGGGGCGUAAACUUCUUUUCUGUGAGAAGAACUCCUGCCUCGGGCAGGGCUGACGGUAUCACAGGAAUAAGGACCGGCUAACUCCGUGCCAGCAGCCGCGGUAAUACGGAGGGUCCAAGCGUUGUCCGGAAUCAUUGGGUGUAAAGGGUGUGUAGGCGGGUGCGCAAGUCAGGGGUGAAAGCCCACAGCUCAACUGUGGAAUCGCCUUUGAGACUGCGUGUCUUGAGUCCUGGAGAGGCCACUAGAAUUCGUGGUGUAGCGGUGAAAUGCGUAGAUAUCACGAGGAAUACCGGAGGCGUAGGCGGGUGGCUGGACAGGUACUGACGCUGAGGCACGAAAGCGUGGGGAGCGAACAGG